rnacentral:tRNA from 1 species
AGGCACGUAGCUCAGUGGGAGAGCGCUUCCUUGACACGGAAGAGGCCGGCGGUUCAAUCCCGCCCGUGCCUA